AUUGAACGCUGGCGGCAGGCCUAACACAUGCAAGUCGAGCGGAUGAAGGGAGCUUGCUCCUGGAUUCAGCGGCGGACGGGUGAGUAAUGCCUAGGAAUCUGCCUGGUAGUGGGGGAUAACGUCCGGAAACGGGCGCUAAUACCGCAUACGUCCUGAGGGAGAAAGUGGGGGAUCUUCGGACCUCACGCUAUCAGAUGAGCCUAGGUCGGAUUAGCUAGUUGGUGGGGUAAAGGCCUACCAAGGCGACGAUCCGUAACUGGUCUGAGAGGAUGAUCAGUCACACUGGAACUGAGACACGGUCCAGACUCCUACGGGAGGCAGCAGUGGGGAAUAUUGGACAAGGGGCGAGAGCCUGAUCCAGCCAUGCCGCGUGUGUGAAGAAGGUCUUCGGAUUGUAAAGCACUUUAAGUUGGGAGGUAGGGCAGUAAGUUAAUACCUUGCUGUUUUGACGUUACCAACAGAAUAAGCACCGGCUAACUUCGUG
rnacentral:rRNA from 1 species